UGUGUGUGUGUGUGUGUGUGUGUGUGUGUGUAUGUCAUUGAACACAUCUCACCAGGGAACUGUCAAAUCGGACACAUUGUCUCUCUCCAAAUACUGAGUAAACACAAGUGUAGCUGGGGAAUGAACACACACACACACACACACACACACACACACA
rnacentral:miRNA from 14 species